rnacentral:rRNA from 1 species
UUUUCUGCCACCGAAUACAUUAGCAUGGGAUAAUGGAAUAGGACCCUGUCCUCCUAUUUUCAGUUGGUUUUGGCASCGCGAGGACUAGGGUAAUGAUUAAUAGGGAUAGUUGGGGGCAUUAAUAUUUAAUUGUCWGAGGUGAAAUUCUUGGAUUUAUGAAAGAUUAACUUCUGCGAAAGCAUCUGCCAAGGAUGUUUUCAUUAAUCAAGAACGAAAGUUAGGGGAUCGAASACGAUCARAUACCGUCSUASUCUUAACCAUAAACGAUGCCGACCAGCGAUUAGGARACGUUGAAUACAAAACACCACCMUCGGCGCGGUCGUCCCUGGCUCGUCGKCUCACGACGGCSGGCGGGGGCGGYUUARCCCRAUGGCACCGGUGAAUGACUCCCCUAG